rnacentral:rRNA from 1 species
UACAGAGGUCUCAAGCGUUGUCCGGAUUUACUGGGCGUAAAGAGCGCGCAGGCGGUCGUUCAAGUCGCGUGUGAAAGCCCCCGGCUCAACUGGGGAGGGUCACGCGAUACUGAUCGACUGGAAGGCAGGAGAGGGUAGUGGAAUUCCCGGUGUAGCGGUGAAAUGCGCAGAUAUCGGGAAGAACACCUAUGGCGAAGGCAGCUCUCUGGGACGGUACUGACGCUGAGACGCGAAAGCGUGGGGAGCGAACAGG